UACGUAGGGUCCGAGCGUUGUCCGGAAUUAUUGGGCGUAAAGGGCUCGUAGGCGGUUCGUCACGUCGGGAGUGAAAACUCGGAGCUUAACUCCGAGCCUGCUUCCGAUACGGGCAGACUAGAGGUAGGUAGGGGAGAUCGGAAUCCUGGUGUAGCGGUGAAUGCGCAGAUAUCAGGAGGAACACCGGUGGCGAAGGCGGACUCUGGCGUCUACCUGACGCUGAGGCGCGAAAGCUAGGGGAGCGAACGGG
rnacentral:rRNA from 1 species